GGGGGAGUAGCUCAAUGGUCAGAGCAGAGCGCUCAUAACGCUUUGGUUGGGGGUUCAAGUCCCUCCUCCCCUACCA
rnacentral:tRNA from 1 species